AUACUACCCUCGCUGUAUUGGAUUUCUAACCCGCACCAUUAAUCAUGGUGGGAGACAGUGUCAGAUGGACAGUUUGACUGGGGCGGUCGCCUCCUAAAGAGUAACGGAGGCGCUCAAAGGUUUCCUCAGAAUGGUUGGAAAUCAUUCAUAGAGUGUAAAGGCACAAGGAAGCUUGACUGCGAGACUUACAAGUCGAGCAGGGUCGAAAGACGGACUUAGUGAUCCGGUGGUUCCGCAUGGAAGGGCCAUCGCUCAACGGAUAAAAGCUACCCCGGGGAUAACAGGCUUAUCUCCCCCAAGAGUUCACAUCGACGGGGAGGUUUGGCACCUCGAUGUCGGCUCAUCGCAUCCUGGGGCUGUAGUCGGUCCCAAGGGUUGGGCUGUUCGCCCAUUAAAGCGGUACGCGAGCUGGGUUCAGAACGUCGUGAGACAGUUCGGUCCCUAUCCGUCGUGGGCGUAGGAAAUUUGAGAGGAGCUGUCCUUAGUACGAGAGGACCGGGAUGGACAUACCUCUGGUGUACCAGUUGUCGUGCCAACGGCAUCGCUGGGUAGCUAUGUAUGGACGGGAUAAGUGCUGAAAGCAUCUAAGCAUGAAGCCCCCCUCAAGAUGAGAUUUCCCAACUUCGGUUAUAAGAUCCCUCAAAGAUGAUGAGGUUAAUAGGUUCGAGGUGGAAGCAUAGCGAUAUGUGGAGCUGACGAAUACUAAUCGAUCGAAGACUUAAUCAAAUU
rnacentral:rRNA from 1 species